AUUGAACGCUGGCGGCAGGCUUAACACAUGCAAGUCGAACGAGUGGCGGACGGGUGAGUAAUGCUUGGGAAUCUGGCUUAUGGAGGGGGAUAACGACGGGAAACUGUCGCUAAUACCGCGUACCAUAGGAUGAGCCCAAGUGGGAUUAGCUAGUAGGUGGGGUAAAGGCUCACCUAGGCGACGAUCCCUAGCUGGUCUGAGAGGAUGACCAGCCACACUGGAACUGAGACACGGUCCAGACUCCUACGGGAGGCAGCAGUGGGGAAUAGUGCACAAUGGGCGCAAGCCUGAUGCAGCCAUGCCGCGUGUAUGAAGAAGGCCUUCGGGUUGUAAAGUACUUUCAGCGGGGAGGCGUUACCCGCAGAAGAAGCACCGGCUAACUCCGUGCCAGCCGCCGCGGUAAUUC
rnacentral:rRNA from 1 species